UACGGAGGGGGCGAGCGUUAUUCGGAAUUAUUGGGCGUAAAGGGCGCGUAGGCGGCUUGACAAGUCAAAGGUGAAAUCCCUCGGCUCAACUGAGGAACUGCCUUUGAAACUGUCUGGCUUGAGGCCGGGAGGGGGUAGCGGAAUUCCCAGUGUAGCGGUGAAAUGCGUAGAUAUCAGGAGGAACACCGAGGGCGAAGGCAGGUCUCUGGGCUGACACUGACGCUCAUGCACGAAAGCGGGGGGAGCAAACAGG
rnacentral:rRNA from 1 species